AUUGAACGCUGGCGGCAUGCCUUACACAUGCAAGUCGAACGGCAGCACGGGAGCAAUCCUGGUGGCGAGUGGCGAACGGGUGAGUAAUAUAUCGGAACGUGCCCAGUCGUGGGGGGAUAACGCAGCGAAAGCUGUGCUAAUACCGCAUACGAUCUCUGGAUGAAAGCAGGGGACCUGCAAGGGCCUCGCGCGAUUGGAGCGGCCGAUAUCAGAUUAGCUAGUUGGUGGGGUAAAGGCCCACCAAGGCGACGAUCUGUAGCUGGUCUGAGAGGACGACCAGCCACACUGGAACUGAGACACGGUCCAGACUCCUACGGGAGGCAGCAGUGGGGAAUUUUGGACAAUGGGCGCAAGCCUGAUCCAGCAAUGCCGCGUACAGGAUGAAGGCCUUCGGGUUGUAACUAGCUUUGUC
rnacentral:rRNA from 1 species